rnacentral:rRNA from 1 species
GGAAUUUUCCGCAAUGGGCGAAAGCCUGACGGAGCAAUGCCGCGUGAAGGAUGAAGGCCUAUGGGUUGUAAACUUCUUUUCUCGGAGAAGAAUUUUGACGGUAUCUGAGGAAUAAGCAUCGGCUAACUCUGUGCCAGCAGCCGCGGUAAGACAGAGGAUGCAAGCGUUAUCCGGAAUGAUUGGGCGUAAAGCGUCUGUAGGUGGUUUAUCAAGUCUUCUGUCAAAGAUCAGGGCUUAACUCUGGGCAGGCAGGAGAAACUAGUAGACUAGAGUUCGGUAGGGGCAGAGGGAAUUCCCGGUGGAGCGGUGAAAUGCGUAGAGAUCGGGAGGAACACCAAAGGCGUAAGCACUCUGCUGGGCCGCGACUGACACUGAGAGACGAAAGCGAGGGGAGCAAAUGGGAUUAGAUACCCCAGUAGUC